rnacentral:misc_RNA from 1 species
AAGUCGUAACAAGGUUUCCGUAGGUGAACCUGCGGAAGGAUCAUUACCGAUUCAAGUGAUCAUUUGAUCAAUGUAAGCUGGAAGGCUUAGGCCAGAAAGCUAGUCACUUGUGGUGAGCAUUGCAAAAUGCAACCCGCUCGUGGCGGCAGUGUCUGACACUGUUUUUGAGUGUACUUGUACACCAUGUGUUUAGAAAGGAAUACAAAAGCAGAACAACUGCAAACGGUGGAUCACUCGGCUC